rnacentral:lncRNA from 1 species
UGUAGAAACUAUUGUGAGAAAAUUAAUUGAAUGGCUAAAAAAUUAAACUAACAAAGGAAAUAAAUUGCUGAAGAAAAAUAUGGAAUGCUGAAAAAUAUAAUGCUGUAAAUAAUGGCAACAGAAACAAGGUUGCUGAAAAAGAAAAAAUGCUAAAAGCUAGAAAGCUGAAAACUAAAUUGCAGAGCGUAAAAAAAAAUGUAAAAGUAGGCCGUCCCAAUUUCUCCCAUUUGGGUCCUUAUAUAGUGUCCAUUUGG